CUCCUCCCCCUCUCCAUCCCCCUCUGACAUGAGAACUGGUGGAUGCUUGCUGCAUCGCCAACGUAACGUGGGAGUUGAAGCAGCCGGUGCCCGACGAAGUGACAGCGGGCGGUGCAGACACCGACAGCAGCCGAGGCUGUGCUUCCAGCUGUGAGGCGGCGGCAGCGGCCGCCUCUGGCUCAGGAAUUGGCCUGGGCUCAGACCAAGACCACAGCCUCGCGCCGCCCACAGCCUUUACACAAGGCGGUGCACACGGGGAAGCUCAGCGGUUUGAAAAGAGAAGGCUCGAGACUCACCUGGGAACAAAUGUAGGGCCCGAGACUCCUAACGACUCUGAAUGCUUGUCAAUAGAUGUUCAAUAAUAGCAACAGUUUUGAUACUUCAGUGAGCCUUGGGACAGGGUCUGGCCAAACAUCAAACCCAUUCUCUUUGUGCAGCUGACCAGUGAUGCUGGAAGAUGACAUGUGCUGCUAGCAUCCAGAAUUUCCCACAUGGUACAUGAUUUUACUUAAAAGAACUGAAGCACUGCUAUUCCUCUAUUUAGGAAUAAUUAAAUAAUUGUUACUUUGUUCUUAA